rnacentral:pre_miRNA from 1 species
UCGUACGGAUGAGCGAAGAAAGUGGUUUCUUGAGGUGGAAACUACUCCCAGUGACGAUGCUGGGAA